rnacentral:rRNA from 1 species
CCUUAGUUACCAGCACGUUAUGGUGGGCACUCUAAGGAGACUGCCGGUGGACAACCGGAGGAAGGUGGGGAUGACGUCAAGUCAUCAUGGCCCUUACGGCCUGGGCUACACACGUGCUACAAUGGUCGGUACAAAGGGUUGCCAAGCCGCGAGGUGGAGCUAAUCCCAUAAAACCGAUCGUAGUCCGGAUCGCAGUCUGCAACUCGACUGCGUGAAGUCGGAAUCGCUAGUAAUCGUGAAUCAGAAUGUCACGGUGAAUACGUUCCCGGGCCUU